rnacentral:rRNA from 1 species
UACGAAGGGUGCAAGCGUUAAUCGGAAUUACUGGGCGUAAAGCGCGCGUAGGUGGUUCGUUAAGUUAGGAGUGAAAGCCCCGGGCUCAACCUGGGAAUUGCUUCUAAAACUGGCGAGCUAGAGUAUGGUAGAGGUGGCGGAAUUUCCUGUGUAGCGGUGAAAUGCGUAGAUAUAGGAAGGAACAUCAGUGGCGAAGGCGACCACCUGGACUGAUACUGACACUGAGGUGCGAAAGCGUGGGGAGCAAACAGGAUUAGAUACCCCGGUAGUCCCUGAG